GAAGCUGACCAGACAGUCGCCGCUUCGUCGUCGUCCCCUUCGGGGGAGACGGGCGGAGGGGAGGAAAGUCCGGGCUCCAUAGGGCAGGGUGCCAGGUAACGCCUGGGGGGGAAACCCACGACCAGUGCAACAGAGAGCAAACCGCCGAUGGCCCGCGCAAGCGGGAUCAGGUAAGGGUGAAAGGGUGCGGUAAGAGCGCACCGCGCGGCUGGU
rnacentral:RNase_P_RNA from 1 species